rnacentral:rRNA from 1 species
UACGGGGGGUGCGAGCGUUGUCCGGAAUUACUGGGCGUAAAGGGCUCGCAGGCGGCCGACUAAGUCAGACGUGAAAUCCCUUGGCUUAACCAAGGAAUGGCGUCUGAUACUGGACGGCUUGAAUCCGGGAGAGGGAUGUGGAAUUCCAGGUGUAGCGGUGAAAUGCGUAGAUAUCUGGAGGAACACCGGUGGCGAAGGCGGCAUCCUGGACCAAUUCUGACGCUGAGGAGCGAAAGCCAGGGGAGCAAACGGG